rnacentral:rRNA from 1 species
UACGUAGGGCGCAAGCGUUGUCCGGAAUUAUUGGGCAUAAAGAGCUCGUAGGUGGUUUGUUACGUCUGCUGUGAAAACCUAGGGCUUAACCCUGGGCCUGCAGUGGAUACGGGCAGACUAGAGGUAGGUAGGGGAGAAUGGAAUUCCCGGUGUAGCGGUGAAAUGCGCAGAUAUCGGGAGGAACACCGGUGGCGAAGGCGGUUCUCUGGGCCUUACCUGACACUGAGGAGCGAAAGCGUGGGGAGCGAACAGG